CUCGUUAAGACCGGAGGUGAAAUAGAGAAAAAGAAGAAAAAAAUAAAGGAAACUAAAGUCAUUUCUUUAUCUUGAAUUCAUAACAAAAGCAAAGUACAUGAUAGGUGUAAGAGAUGCAUGCCCAGCAGCAUUACAAACAAAUCCGAAGUCCAAACCCAGUAACAAUUCGAGAUCCCUACUUAAAACAAAUCACAACCUAGCUCGCUACCUUGUAUGCAUCCCUUACAUCCCAUGUUCAUAACAUUAACAACCCAAAAGAAAAAAAAAGCACUAGUUAAUUAGGACAUAUAUGUAAAAGAAACAAAACAAGCUAAGGUUAAACAUGGAACAAAAACAAGGAAACUAAAUUAAAAACAACAGAAGUUAAAAGUAAAAUCGGACCGCUACCCUCAAUUCCCCGCAAUGCAAUAAUGCCGCUCUCCCAAUUCUGCCCCCUCUAGAGGCUAGAAACUCGGGAGAGCGCAAUUGCAAAGCAUGUUGUUUGUGUGUUGUUGUGCCAUCAGCUACCGUCCAUAUCUACUAAAGAACCCUUUUCGACCGUGCCUCCACCUCCUUCGCCACCAGACACCCCAGCCACCGUGGCGGCGAGCCUUGAUGAGCAUCGUUGACAUAUGACCUUUAGUGAAAAGAACUAUAGUGUCAGUCAAUAUGCUUAAGAUAAAUUGUGCAUUAUGAGCUCUAAAACGAAGUGCUAAGUACUAGCUAGAAAAGAAAAGAAAAGAAUGU
rnacentral:lncRNA from 1 species